rnacentral:rRNA from 1 species
AGGACGAACGCUGGCGGCGUGCUUAACACAUGCAAGUCGAGCGGUGACCCUCCUUCGGGAGGUGAUCAGCGGCGAACGGGUGAGUAACACGUGGGCAACCUGCCCCUCACACUGGGAUAACCUCGGGAAACCGGGGCUAAUACCGGAUACGACCUCGAGCGGCAUCUCUCGAGGUGGAAAGCUCCGACGGUGAGGGAUGGGCCCGCGGCCUAUCAGCUUGUUGGUGGGGUAAUGGCCUACCAAGGCGACGACGGGUA